GGUGGGUACACAACUUCAAUUGAGCUCAACAAAACAUCCUUAAGACUAAGGGUCAAACUAAAAUAAUGAAUAUAGGAGUUAGGAAAUUUUUCUUAGAAGUUUUAUUGGCGAAAUAUUCCAUAGUGGGAUUGUUACUAUCUCAAGCUGAGUUUGCUUGCAAUCGAUCAUUGAGCCAAACUACUUUUCAAAGUCCUUUGAAAUUAGUGUAUGAGUGAAACCCUAUCCCCCCUAUUAGGCUUGCAUUGAAACCGGUUAACCAACAAUUUAAUCGAUGCUUAGGAAAGACCUAAAGAGAUUGCAACU
rnacentral:misc_RNA from 1 species